GAAAAAAAGAAAGAAAAGAAAAGAGAGGGGUUUCAUAUUGGAAUCCAAUUCAAAUAGUUAGGAGUUAAGAAGAUGUGAAUAAAAAAUAAAAUAAAAUAAUGAGGGCCAAAACUUGUCUAGUCCUUAUCCAUUAUAAUUCAAGACACCAUUACAAUUCAAGAAACAUAUAUGGGUAUUAUCUAUUUUACAUAUGUUAUGUCUUGCAUCUAUGAUUAACUGGCCUAGGCAAGAAUUUCUCCAAAAUUUAACUGCUAUAUCUUUGUGGCAUUGCUAGCAUGAGCAGCAGAAUAAAAAUGGCAAUACAAAUUGUGGAAGGAUCUGGGAUAAUGAGGAGGCAGUAGAAAUGAAAGAUUCUAGAUUCUUAAUUCAAAAUGGGCCAAUAAUGUGGUGCUUCUUUUAUUCAAUUCAAUGACAAACUUGCUAAGCCCCUAAUAGCAAAAGUAAAUUAAAGCAAGCAUUGAGCAGAGCAAAGUACACGGUAAAUUAGUAGAAGUAUGAAUGAAAGAGAAAGAC
rnacentral:misc_RNA from 1 species